CUUAACCAUAGCAAUGUGCUCAAUUCCAUCUAUUAUUGACUUGAAGCAAUGGGCAGUAAAUGGGCCCCACAUAGUAGGUAUUCUUGCAGCAGAAGCAUGCUCUACCAACUGAUCUGUUUUCCUCCUAUAUCUGUAAAAGGAAGUAAUUGUCAGAUGAUGUAUUCUUGAACCACUAAAAGAAUGCUUGCUCUCAAGCAUUUGCUGGNAAUGGGAGUCAGAAUGGGGACUCUACCAGAAAUUGCCAAACCAUAACCCUUCAGUCCACUGUAUUUUGCAGGAUUGUUUGUCAUCAGCCUCAUAGUUCGAACACCAAGAUCCCUUAAGAUCUGCACAAGGAUGUCAUUUUAGUUUUUCUUUAAGACAACUAGAUUUACACAAAAAAUCACAGCAACAUCCAGAGAGAGCUUAUAUAGGAAGUGAGUACCUGUGCACCAACCCCAUACUCUCUUGAAUCAACAGGCAGACCAAGUUCUUCAUUAGCUUCAACAGUAUCACGUCCAGCAUCUUGUAAAUUAUAAGCACGAAGUUUGUGACCCAAACCAAUGCCUCUACCCUCAUGACCACGGAGGUAAACCAAAACCCCCCUGCCAGCAGCCUCAAUUUGUUGCAUUGCAAUUGCCAGCUGGUUUCCACAGUCACAUCUCGCUGAACCGAAUAUAUCUCCUGUGAGACAUUCCGAGUGUACCCGGACAAGAAUAUCUUGUCCGUCUCCUAUAUCUCCCUGGUCAUUCAACAAACUCAUCCCAAAUUAGUACCAAACACGAAAUGAACUAGUCAAGACGAAUGCUCCCAUACUAUGCAGUAAUAAAAUUCUCUACAAGGAUGCCAAAAGGUAAAGUGAUGUAAGAUACAGUAGUAAAAGUGCUUGUCCCCCCUUCCUCUUAAGAAAACGAUGGAACUUCAUGCUUCAAAUAGAGAAGACAUACGUAUAAAACCACACCUGAACUAUCCUUUUUUUUUUUAGUUUCAUACCUAAACUAUUGAGAGCGUGAAUUUCAUACCUAAACUAUCACUUAUUAGUCUGAAAAACACACUAAACUAGAAAUGUAUGUACAAUUUUGACUAGUCAAACCACUGCUGAAGAUAUAAGCGAGAAUAUCCCCAAAGUUGCUCACCUUAACCAUAGCAAUGUGCUCAAUUCCAUCUAUUAUUGACUUGAAGCAAUGGGCAGUAAAUGGGCCCCACAUAGUAGGUAUUCUUGCAGCAGAAGCAUGCUCUACCAACUGAUCUGUUUUCCUCCUAUAUCUGUAAAAGGAAGUAAUUGUCAGAUGAUGUAUUCUUGAACCACUAAAAGAAUGCUUGCUCUCAAGCAUUUGCUGGACAAAGCAAGGAUAAGGGAAGUCACAUCUACUGUGUUUUAAGAUAUUAAUGCAGCUAAAUGCAAAUGAAAUGGAAAAAAAAAAAAAAAAACACAUCAAAAGUAAUUUUCUUUCUUUUGAUCAAGUAACACUAAACUAGAAUAAAUAGGGAUGUGCAGGCAGACACAAUUUAGUAAAAGAGCAGAUGCACCAACACAUGAAGAUAAAGUUUCUUCAAAGACUACUGUGUAUCUCCAAUCUCUUGUAGUUUGGUUGUUCAGUCACUGAAAGACUUCUCUCACCAUUGAUUCUAUGAUGCGCAAUGAUACAAGCCUAAGUCUAUCUUCAUCCUUAGAAGUGAGAACUAAGCUUACAGUUUUCGGGGAUAAGUAAGCUUACACAAUAUAAGGAAAUCAUUCACUUAAAUGGGAGGGGGGGUUCUCUUGAGAAAUAAGGGGGAUGGACUUUUGCGCAAUCUCCCAAAUUAACUGCCUGGUAUGCAGUAAAGACAAAAGAUAGAAAAAUAGAUCCAGUCAGAAAAGGAAGCCUCACUUUAGAACCAUCAGAAGUAUUUAUCAACAUGUCAAAGGAUGAUAAAACAAUAAACCACGAAGGAAUUUAUUCAGCAACCAACUCUUAAAGAAAUCAGAAGCAGAUCUGUUAACCACCUGAUUAAGUCAGCAACUGAUAUGAUCUUCAAGUUAUGUUCUUUUGCAAAUUGACGAAGCAUAGGCAAUCUAGCCAUGGAACCAUCAUCAUCCACAACCUCACAUAUUACUCCAACAGGGUCUAAGCCAGCUAACAUGGCAAGAUCC
rnacentral:lncRNA from 1 species